CAACCUGAUCCAUAUAUAGUAUUGUUACAGCGUGCAAUCCGAUCUAUAUUUUUAUAUACCUUUAACAACAAUCAUACAAAGUGUCCCAGCAAGGGAUCAAUAAUAAACUACACUAUUCCGACAAGGGAUUCAACAGUAAAAGUAAACACGUCCCGGCCGGGGAGAAUCAGCUAACCAAUCUUAACUCAACUUCUAUUCAUCCAGGCUAACACCAAUACCCGAUCAUAAGUAUUUUGUACAAAAACAAACUCAACCUUGUCCUAACAUGAUAACUCAAUCAUUGAGACUCAUAACGAAGGGGAUGAGACGACCCCGGUUCGAGAUGGUCAAUACCCUAAGCAUGUGCGGGAGACAACCCUGAUGAUGCAGAGGAAGAACCCGUCGUAGAAAUGGUCACAUACUUGAGGGAUCUGCAAAAAGCAAUUAUGAGACUCCUCUCAAGGAAGAAUCGAGUGAUGAUAGAGGUAAAACAAGUAUUGUCAGGCAUCCCCAAUAAUGCAAACGGAAGGGGCCUGCUUUCUCUCAGUAUUCCUACAAAUCCAAAAACUCAGAGAAUCGAUAACAACACCCGAAGGGGUGAAGUCGGGUUGAGAGGAAGGUGAGAUGUCAAUUUCACAUAAAACAAGAAUUUUAGUAACUAUUAACCUUAUUUAAAAUGUAAAUCACAUUAAAGAUUUUACACGAAUAGUCGGCCCAAUUUAUUAUUUUUUAACCGAUAUAAAUAAAUUGUAUAGUAAUUAUACUUGGUUAUAAUAGAUUACAUAUGAACUAUAUAUAUAAUAGAUUUUACGGUUAUUUUUAGUGGUGGAUGACUAUUUAGCUUAAUUAUUCAUCACAAUAUGAUCAGAGUAAAAUUAUUUGAUUUAAUCAACUUGAAUAAAAGAAUAGAGAUCGAAACAUACCUAUGUAAUUUGACUGAGUCACUGAUAACUCUGAGGGGAGCACCACUACCAGUAAUCAGGUUUUUCAACCAUGUUACUAAACCAAAUAUAAGUUCUAUAAUCUGGAAUUUUUACCAAAAAAUGAAAUGAAAACAGUAAUUGUAUGUUUUUAUUCAUCUUUGUAUGAACUCCAAAUUAAAUAAAUAAAAACAAGUGUUGAUAAUAUUAAAUAGAACUUAC
rnacentral:lncRNA from 1 species